GAAGGCAGUAAACACCUCAUAAUUGAACAUGACAGCUGCAGAUGCCAUUAUGUUCUAGCAUGUGCUUUUCAAUUGCUUUGUUUAUGAUUGUGAGAAGUGCCAGGUUGCCAUGUUAGAUUUCUGUUAGUCCCCUUUCUGGAAAGUGAUGUCAAUGACUUGAUUGCAAUAUUAAGUGAGUAUAGCAGUGUGGUUCACACAUGUUAAUUAUUCAUGACAACUAUGAACUAAAGUGAUUAGUUCAGUGAUCAGUGAUCACCAAUACGGCCACCACCUAUUAUUGUUAUUAUUUGAACUUUUGAUUG
rnacentral:misc_RNA from 1 species